rnacentral:rRNA from 1 species
CUACGGGGUGCUCCAGUGGGGAAUAUUGCACAAUGGGGGGAACCCUGAUGCAGCAACGCCGCGUGGAGGAUGACGCAUUUCGGUGUGUAAACUCCUUUUAUAUGUCAAGAAAAUGACGGUAGCAUAUGAAUAAGCACCGGCUAACUCCGUGCCAGCAGCCGCGGUAAUACGGAGGAUGCAAGCGUUACUCGGAAUCACUGGGCGUAAAGGACGCGUAGGCGGGUUGGAAAGUCAGGUGUGAAAUCCUACAGCUUAACUGUAGAACUGCACUUGAAACUUCUAAUCUAGAGUAUGGGAGGGGGAGAUGGAAUUAGUGGUGUAGGGGUAAAAUCCGUAGAUAUCACUAGGAAUACCUAAAGCGAAGGCGAUCUCCUGGAACAUUACUGACGCUAAGGCGUGAAAGCGUGGGGAGCAAACAGGAUUAGAUACCCCUGUAGUC